UACGAAGGGUGCAAGCGUUGUUCGGAUUUAUUGGGCGUAAAGCGCGCGCAGGCGGAAGAGCAAGUCAGAUGUGAAAUCUCGGGGCUUAACCCCGAACGUGCGUCUGAAACUACUUUUCUAGAGUAGCGGAGGGGAGAGGGGAAUUUCACAUGUAGGGGUAAAAUCCGUAGAGAUGUGAAGGAACACCAGAGGCGAAAGCGCCUCUCUGGCCGCUAACUGACGCUGAGGCGCGAAAGCGUGGGGAUCAAAC
rnacentral:rRNA from 1 species